UACGGAGGGAGCUAGCGUUGUUCGGAAUUACUGGGCGUAAAGGGAGCGUAGGUGGCGGGUUAAGUCUAAUGUGAAAGCUCUGAGCUCAACUCAGAAAUGGCAUUGGAUACUAACUUGCUUGAGGAUUGGAGGGGAGACUGGAAUUCUCGGUGUAGCAGUGAAAUGCGUAGAUAUCGAGAGGAACACCAGUGGCGAAGGCGAGUCUCUGGACAAUUCCUGACACUCAUGCUCGAAAGCUAGGGGAGCAAACGGG
rnacentral:rRNA from 1 species